rnacentral:rRNA from 1 species
UGAAGCUGGAAUUGCUAGUAAUGGCAGGUCAGCAUACUGCCGUGAAUACGUUCCCGGGCCUUGUACACACCGCCCGUCACACCAUGAGAGUUGGGAAUACCCGAAGCCUGUGAGCCAACUUUUAAAGAGGCAACAGUCGAAGGUAGAAUCAAUGAUUGGGGUGAAGUCGUAACAAGGUAAC